rnacentral:rRNA from 1 species
UACGAAGGGGGCUAGCGUUGCUCGGAAUCACUGGGCGUAAAGGGCGCGUAGGCGGCCAUUCAAGUCGGGGGUGAAAGCCUGUGGCUCAACCACAGAAUGGCCUCGAUACUGGGACGCUUGAGUAUGGUAGAGGUUGGUGGAACUGCGAAUGUAGAGGUGAAAUUCGUAGAUAUUCGCAAGAACACCGGUGGCGAAGGCGGCCAACUGGACCAUUACUGACGCUGAGGCGCGAAAGCGUGGGGAGCAAACAGG